rnacentral:rRNA from 1 species
UUGGAGGGCAAGUCUGGUGCCAGCAGCCGCGGUAAUUCCAGCUCCAAUAGCGUAUAUUAAAGUUGUUGCAGUUAAAAAGCUCGUAGUUGAAUUUCGGGGUCAGUAGGUUGGUCGUGCCACUGGUAUGCACUGGUCUCACUGAUUCCUCCUUCCUGAUGAACCGUAAUGCCAUUAACUUGGUGUUGCGGGGAAUCUGGACUGUUACUUUGAAAAAAUUAGAGUGUUUAAAGCAGGCUAACGCUUGAAUACAUUAGCAUGGAAUAAUGAAAUAGGACGAUCGAUCCUAUUUUGUUGGUUUCUAGGAUUGACGUAAUGAUUAAUAGGGAUAGUUGGGGGCAUUAGUAUUCAAUUGUCAGAGGUGAAAUUCUUGGAUUUAUUGAAGACUAACUACUGCGAAAGCAUUUGCCAAGGAUGUUUUCAUUAAUCAAGAGCGAAAGUUAGGGGAUCGAAGACGAUCAGAUACCGUCGUAGUCUUAACCAUAAACUAUGCCGACUAGGGAUCGGAUGAUGUUAAUUUUUUAAUGACUCAUUCGGCGCCUUACGGGAAA